GCAAUACAGUUUUGCAUCUUGCUGUCUCUGCAGGCUGCUACGACAUUGCAGAAUACUUGAUCAACGAACACAUAUUGGAGCUCAAUGCCCCAAAUUAUUCAGGACUCACAGCACUGGACUUGCUUGAACAGGGAGCGGACAGUGAUGGAAAAAAAGGAGUUCUUACAGCCUUGUUAAUUGAAGCCGGAGGUAAAAGGAGCAAUCAACUGUUAACAGGUAUCUCUUCUGCACCAAUUGGAGAAGGAAAUGACAACACCAAACACCACAUAGAUGUUAAAUUGCCAUGUGUUGCUCAAGGAAAUAAGAUGAGGAAAACUAACACUCUGCAAAAACCAUCUAUGUGGUGUUUGGUGUUGUCAUUUUCUCACCUGCAAACGAUACAGGUUGAGGCGCUACAAAAUGCAAGGAACACCAUUAUAGUAGUAGCAGUUUUGAUUGCAACAGUAAGUUUUUCUGCUGGAAUAAGUCCUCCAGGUGGCGUCUACCAGGAUGGACCUUUGAAAGGGAAAUCAAUGGUAGCCAAAACAACAGCUUUCAAGGUUUUUGAAAUAAGUAACACUAUUGCAUUGUGCACAUCUCUUUCAGUGGUCUUUAUACUAGUCAGGAUCAUUCCCUUUCGAAGAAAGCCACUGAUGAGAAUGCUGAAGAUGGCUGAUAGAGUGAUGUGGGUAGCAGUAUCAUUUAUGGUAACAAGUUAUCUAGCAGCAACNNNNNNNNNAGUCAAGGCACAGAAUGGAUUAUGUCUAUGUUGAUACUUGCCCUCAGUGGUGGCACCGUUGGAAUAACCUUUAUUGUUAUAGGUGCGAUUCUGGCUAAUCAAUGGCAGAGGAAAA
rnacentral:misc_RNA from 1 species